rnacentral:rRNA from 1 species
AAUGAACGCUGGCGGCGUGCCUAACACAUGCAAGUCGUACGAGAAAUCCCGAGCUUGCUUGGGAGAGUAAAGUGGCGCACGGGUGAGUAACGCGUGGGUAACCCACCUUCGAAUCUGGGAUAACUCCGCGAAAGCGGUGCUAAUACCGGAUAAGACCACAUUCCGUUUGCGGAAAGAGGUAAAAGCUGACCUCUCCAUGGAAGUUAGCGUUCGAGGACGGGCCCGCGUCCUAUCAGCUUGUUGGUGGGGUAAUGGCCUACCAAGGCAGCGACGGGUAGCUGGUCUGAGAGGAUGAUCAGCCACACUGGAACUGGAACACGGUCCAGACUCCUACGGGAGGCAGCAGUGAGGAAUUUUGCGCAAUGGGGGAAACCCUGACGCAGCAACGCCGCGUGGGUGAAGAAGGCUUUCGGGUCGUAAAGCCCUGUCAGGUGGGAAGAAACUCUUCAGUACUAAUAAUGCUGAAGCCUGACGGUACCACCAGAGGAAGCACCGGCCAACUCCGUG